UGAUUUGAUCAGAAGCCAGCGCCCAGCCCUAAAUUCUAAUCCCUUUCUUUCUUUCUCUCUCCCCAUUCCCGUACCCUCUCUCCCGACCCAUCACGGCGCCGUCUAUUCUUCCUAGCCUCUCUCUCCCGCUGUCUGUUCUUCCAAAAAGCUCUGAUCCGAUGGCCACGAUCUUGUUGUCCUUUAUUCGUACAACCACUUCUGUGUAUCGUGUUCUCUGCAGCUAAAUUUGAUCUUGUAUAUAUGCGUGUGCUGGUAUACCUUAUAAGAGUUUGUUAGAUUUUGGUGCUACAUUUCUUUGAACUGCUUGUGAAUUGGUUGGAUGAUGAUUUGGGCACGUAAUGCCAAUGAAUUUCAUUACAAGAAUAUUCCUGGAUGUUCUUUUCUGUUUCACCUAUUCUUCACUUUUGUUCUGAAAGAAAGAAGAUCAAAAAGGGAAAUUGCAUGACAGUUUAUUCAAGCUUUUUUUGAUUCAUGGAAGCAGGGGGUAUGGGUGUGAAUUAAAUUGGUGUACACAGAUUGGCUCUAAUCAAAUUUGAGUUUUGGGACUAGAAGAUUGAUUUGUGUUUUGGUUCUAAUCAAGCAAUUGUGGGUUCGAGUGGAGUCCCAUUGGGCGU
rnacentral:sRNA from 1 species